rnacentral:rRNA from 1 species
AUUGAACGCUGGCGGCAUGCCUUACACAUGCAAGUCGAACGGCAGCACGGGUGCUUGCACCUGGUGGCGAGUGGCGAACGGGUGAGUAAUACAUCGGAACAUGUCCUGUAGUGGGGGAUAGCCCGGCGAAAGCCGGAUUAAUACCGCAUACGAUCUACGGAUGACAGCGGGGGACCUUCGGGCCUCGCGCUAUAGGGUUGGCCGAUGGCUGAUUAGCUGGUUGGUGGGGUAAAGGCCUACCAAGGCGACGAUCAGUAGCUGGUCUGAGAGGACGACCAGCCACACUGGGACUGAGACACGGCCCAGACUCCUACGGGAGGCAGCAGUGGGGAAUUUUGGACAAUGGGCGAAAGCCUGAUCCAGCAAUGCCGCGUGUGUGAAGAAGGCCUUCGGGUUGUAAAGCACUUUUGUCCGGAAAGAAAUCCUUGGCCCUAAUACGGUCGGGGGAUGACGGUACCGGAAGAAUAAGCACCGGCUAACUACGUG